UAGAGCUUGUUAGAUUAAGCAUCAGUAUGAACCCUACCAUAUCUUUCUCUAUCUGAGCUUUGUAGCUCAUGUUCUUGUUCUUAGGGCUUCAAACACCUGGCAUAGAGUGAUUUCUUUGUGUGUGUGUGUGUGUGUGUGUGUGUGUGUGCACGUGCGUGUGUGUAUGUGUGUGUUUGCUCGUGCAUUCAUGCCCACAUACAUUCAUGUGUGUAUAUGUGCAUGCAUGUGUGCAUGUGAAGACCAGGGCAUAACCUUCCACAUCAUUCCUAAGCCAUCAUCCACCUUGCCUUUUGAGACAGUGUCUCUAAAUGGCUUGGAAGUGACCAGGUCAUCUAAGAUGGCUGAUCAGCAAGUCCCAAGGAUCUUCCUGGCUCUGCCUCACCAGGGCUAAGUUUACAAGCUGGUUAAACCAUGCUUGGCUCUUCUUAUGCGGCCUAUGAGGAUCAAAAUCUCAGGUCCUAAUGCUUGUAAGGCAAAUACUUCACAGAGUGAACUAUCCUCCCCAACCCCCAUCCACACUCCCAACCUGAUUUCUAAACCCUUGGUGUUCAUUCCGUGGAACUGGCACGGAAGCUUGUUAAGAAUCUAGAAUCUCGGGCUGUCUGAGAUCUCCUGAAUCAGAAACCACAUUUUAGUAAAAUUCCGCUGUGAUGUUUGUGAGCUCAUUAAAGUCUGAGAAUUCUGGACCCAAGGAUGCUCUACAAUUAUGGCCGGUCUAGAUGGUUAAUUACUUCCUCUAUUCAUAUGCAUGCUGCAGUUGGCGUCCACAGUGAGCAGACACAGAGGUGCCCCAGGCCCCAGGAGAAUGAGAAGAGACAAUGAGCGAGACACAGAGUUUAACCAGGGCCAUCUGUGUGACCAGGGCUUUGGGGUUAUCCAUCAGAGCCCUGUGGACAUACCACUGGAUACAGGGCUGAGGACAAUGGCGGUCCCUUUCCCACACGGUGAUGCUGAAGAUGGGUAUUUACCCCCCCUCCACUGCAUAAAUGAAGAAGCUGAAGUCUCCAGGGUUCAAGAAAUUUGCCCAAAGUCCUAGUACUAAUUGAAUAUUAAGUCAGGACUUGAAUCCAGGUUUGGCUGAUAACAAAAUUCUUAAAAUUUUUAUAACAAUUA